GGAGGAGUGUCCUAAUGGCGACGGGUGAGUAACACGUUGGUGACCUACCCCGAGAGGGGGACAACCCGGGAAACUGGGGCUAAUACCCCAUGUGAUCCUAAGGACUAGAUGCCUAAGGAUGAAAUGGAGCAAUUCGCUUCGGGAGGGGCCUGCGGCCUAUCAGCUAGUUGGUGAGGUAAUGGCUCACCAAGGCGACGACGGGUAGGGGACCGAGAGGGUGACCCCCCACACUGGAACUGAAACACGGACCAGACACCUACGGGUGGCAGCAGUAGGGAAUAUUGCACAAUAGGCGAAAGCCUGAUGCAGCAACGCCGCGUGUGCGAUGAAGGCCUUAGGGUUGUAAAGCACUUUUCUGGGGGACGAGAAAGGACGGUACCCCAGGAAUAAGUCUCGGCUAACUACGUGCCAGCAGCCGCGGUAAAACGUAGGAGGCAAGCGUUAUCCGGAUUACUGGGCGUAAAGCGCGUGCAGGCGGUUUGGUAAGUCGGACGUGAAAGCUCCCGGCUCAACUGGGAGAGGCCGUUCGAAACUACAGGACUAGAGGGCAGCAGAGGGAAGUGGAAUCCAGGUGUAGCGGUGAAAUGCGUAAUAUCUGGAGAACACCAGUGGCGAAGGCGGCUUCCUGGACUGUCCCUGACGCUAAGACGCGAAAGCUAGGGGAGCGAACGGGAUUAGAAACCCCGGUAGUCCUAGCUGUAAACGAUGCACACUUGGUGUUGGUGGCGUAAAAACCAUCAGUGCCGCAGCUAACGCAUAAGUGUGCCGCCUGGGGACUACGGUCGCAAGGCUAAAACUCAAAGGAAUUGACGGGGGCCCGCACAAGCAGCGGAGCGUGUGGUUUAAUUCGAGGCUACGCGAAGAACCUUACCUGGGCUAGACAUGUUCGUAGUAGGAAACCGAAAGGUGACCGACCCUUCGGGGAGCGAUCACAGGUGCUGCAUGGCUGUCGUCACUCGUGCCGUGAGGUGUCCGGU
rnacentral:rRNA from 1 species